rnacentral:rRNA from 1 species
UACGUAGGGACCGAGCGUUGUCCGGAAUCAUUGGGCGUAAAAAGCGUGUAGGCGGCCACUUAAGUCCUGCGUGAAAUCUUGCGGCUCAACCGCAAGCGGUCGUGGGAAACUGGGUGGCUAGAGUGCGGGAGAGGAGAGUGGAAUUCCUGGUGUAGCGGUGGAAUGCGCAGAUAUCAGGAAGAACACCCGUGGCGAAGGCGGCUCUCUGGAACGCAACUGACGCUGAGACGCGAAAGCGUGGGGAGCAAACAGG